rnacentral:lncRNA from 1 species
UUCGUUGAUUUGUAGUUUUGCACUUUCCCCCAAAACGAACUUGACGAAACUUUUAAAAUUUUCAAAACAUAACAAAAAAUUUUAUUUUGUUUUAAAUUUUUGCUUAAAGGCUGACUUUCGGCAUUACGACGUACACGCACGACCAAGUAAUUGUUUUGCUUGCGUUUUCAAUGAGAAACUAAACUAUUGUAAGACUCGGUGUUGCAUUUUGACUGUCGCUACCAACCAGCAGGCAUUCCAGUGCAAACGGACAUACGCACAUACGCGUGUAGUAUUUAACCAGGAGGGUUGGACAAGUGCUGCUCGUAGCAGCAGUCGUGAGAGCAGGGAGGAUUGCUAGCAGUUACCAGGAGGUAUUCACGUCUCCCUGUUGUUGUUGCUCAAGUCUGCAACUGAAUGCAUGGCAGGAUACAACAAAUCGUGGUGAGCGAGUGGCGGAGGCAGAGAGAGGCCAUACUGUGUUAGUUGAGUGCACACGUUCAUUGUAAGAGCCAUGGGGCACGGCAAGAACGCAAAAAGCAAUGUGCAUGCAACAUGCUGGCAGAAACAACAACAGUUGUAUGCAACGUACACACACACGCAUAUCUGGUUACGUGCAGACGAAGGAGAAUUCGAAAUGUCAAAUAUGCAAGAUGUAAAAUGCGCGAUACGGUCCAGCAAUCUCCUUCUAGGCACUGAUAAGAUUUUAAUAGACAGCAUUUUCGCCAUGGGAUUUUACUAAUUUUACACCUCUAACCUGCACAUAGCAGAUUUGUAAAAAAAAGCUGAAGCUUAUUGGCUUCAUUCGCAAUAUCUUACAAGACCUCGACAAAAAUCUCCUUCCGUCCAUUCCGCCGAAAUACCUCGUCAGAUGUUUUCAAGAUUUAACCUUUUAUGAGAAGCGAUGACAGGACGUAGAACAAUCUAUUACUCACCAUACUUAGUAACUCAGCAUUUAUCGGAAUAUUGCUUUUUGACCGUGACUUUUCCCGCAAUAAAUUUCCAUAAACAGUUAUAAUAAGCUGUGGAAUUGAUUUCUACGGUCUCAAUUUAACACAACAUUAGUUUUCUUCAUAUAAUAAUAAUGCAAGCAAAGAGUUUUCUUUGUACCAACAAUCGAGCAAACCGAGCCAGAAAUAAAGUCAUAUUCGAAUAGAUCGCUUUCUAGUCCACUUCUUGGAUCGACAAGUUAUCCACCUAAUAACCUGCGAAAACAGAGCUAUCUAUGUUUCUGGGAGUUCAUUGCGUACACACAUCGUUGCAAUACUCUACCAUUCAAUGUUUGCUUCCCUUUUACCUCCUUAGGGUAAAAUUUGGGAAAAUCUUUUCCUAUUUUCACCUUCAAAGCCUGUGGGCUUCCGUCAGUCAUUCGCGUCAAAAUUGGUUUAUAUACUAAUAAGUAUGUAGCUAACUUAUUACUACAUACAUAUAUCGCUGAUAUGCAUGCCCCGUCUCAUCAAUCCCAAUACUUUUUGGGAAAAAUUCACUUUUACCAUCAUCGUCCUACUUCCCCGAUUUUGCUCAGGGAGACUACCAAUUAUUGGAGGAAAUUCAUUUAUAGAUGAACACAUAUGCCGGCAAGGCUGAGGGUACCAAAUGCUGGUUGAGUAAGAAGAUCGGUACUCUACUUGCUUAUGUGGUCACACUGCAUUCCUACACGUUUAGUUUGCCCUUCUCACUUACGGUCUCUCAUUCACUUCAAUACAAAAACGAAAUUGAUGCUGUGAAAAGAGGACGAAGAAAAGAGGAUUCUAUAUCGAUAAAAGUAGGCAGACAAAAAAAAAUUAAUUUUUGUGGCAUUCUUUUGUGAUUGUGUGAUCACAUGUAAUCGCCAGUACGCUACUGGAUACCCAUACUUAAAGGUUAGAUUUAGUAAGAUAUAUAUAUACAUAUAUAUUAAGCAUAUCCUAAAAAUCUAAUUUCCUUUCCUUGUAAAUAAAAUAAUUAAAAAAAAA